GCUUGCGCUCGGUUGAGAAGAGUCUCAUCCGGUAGAGCGAAUGAUUAGAGGCAUUGGGGUCGAAACGACCUCAACCUAUUCUCAAACUCCAAAUAGAUGAGACCCCCGGCUUUCUUAAAAGUGAAGCCGUGGGAUUAGGAUCAAAGUGCCAAGUGGGCCAUUUUUGGUAAGCAGAACUGGCGCUGUGG
rnacentral:rRNA from 1 species